rnacentral:rRNA from 1 species
AUUGAACGCUGGCGGCAUGCCUUACACAUGCAAGUCGAACGGCAGCACGGGAGCAAUCCUGGUGGCGAGUGGCGAACGGGUGAAUAAAGUAUCGGAACGUGCCCAGUCGUGGGGGAUAACGUAGCGAAAGUUACGCUAAUACCGCAUACGAUCUAUGGAUGAAAGCGGGGGAUCGCAAGACCUCGCGCGAUUGGAGCGGCCGAUAUCAGAUUAGGUAGUUGGUGGGGUAAAGGCCCACCAAGCCGACGAUCUGUAGCUGGUCUGAGAGGACGACCAGCCACACUGGGACUGAGACACGGCCCAGACUCCUACGGGAGGCAGCAGUGGGGAAUUUUGGACAAUGGGCGAAAGCCUGAUCCAGCCAUGCCGCGUGCAGGAUGAAGGCCUUCGGGUUGUAAACUGCUUUUGUACGGAACGAAAAGGACUACCCUAAUACGGUGGUCCCAUGACGGUACCGUAAGAAUAAGCACCGGCUAACUACGUGCCAGCAGCCGCAGUAA